GAUGAACGCUGGCGGCGUGCCUAACACAUGCAAGUCGAACGGAAAGGCCCUGCUUUUGUGGGGUUCUCGAGUGGCGAACGGGUGAGUAACACGUGAGUAACCUGCCCUUGACUUUGGGAUAACUUCAGGAAACUGGGGCUAAUACCCGAUAGGAGCUCCUGCUGCAUGGUGGGGGUUGGAAAGUUUCGGCGGUUGGGGAUGGACUCGCGGCUUAGGAGCUUGUUGGUGGGGUAGUGGCUUACCAAGGCUACGACGAGUAGCUGGCCUGAGAGGGGGACCGGCCACACUGGGAGUGAGACACGGCCCAGACUCCUACGGGAGGCAGCAGUGGGGAAUGUUGGACAAUGGGCGAAAGCAUGAUCGAGCAACGCCGCGUGUGUGAAGAAGGCCUUCGGGUUGUAAAGCACUUUUGUGCGGAAAGAAAAACUGGGCCCGAAAACGGUCAGGGGAUGACGGUACCGGAAGAAAAAGCAACGGCUAACUACGUG
rnacentral:rRNA from 1 species